UCUCAAAGAUUAAGCCAUGCAUGUCUAAGAAUAAGCCCCAGAACGGUGAAUCUGCGAAUGGCUCAUUAAACCAGUUAUUGUUUAUUUGAUGGUACCUUACUACUUGGAUAACCGUAGUAAUUCUAGAGCUAAUACAUGCGUCAAUACUCAACUGCUUGUGGGGUGCAUUUAUUAGAUUCAAACCAUCGGCCCUUCGGGGCCUUUGAUGGCGAGUCAUGAUAACUGAGCGAAUCGAAUGGCCUUGCGCCGUCGAUGCUUCAUUCAAAUUUCUGCCCUAUCAGCUUUCGAUGGUAGGAUCUUGGCCUACCAUGGUUGUAAUGGGUAACGGGGAAUUGGGGUUUGACACCGGAGAGGGAGCCUGAGAAACGGCUACCACUUCCAAGGAAGGCAGCAGGCGCGUAACUUGCCCAAUGUUGACACAAUGAGGCAGCAACAAGAAAUAACAACGCAACUCCUUUGAAAAAGAUUGCGAUUGGAAUGAGUACAACUUAAACACCUUAACGAUGAACAAUUGGAGGGCAAGUCUGGUGCCAGCAGCCGCGGUAAUUCCAGCUCCAAUAGCAUAUACUAAAAUUGUUGCAGUUAAAAAGCUCGUAGUUGGAUUUCUGGUAGACAUUGAGCGUCCGUGGCCUCACGGUCAUGCGCAUGCGAUAAUGGUUGGCCAUGUACUUCGGAGGAACAUGGGUACUUUUCAUUAAAGUGCCAGUGGGAUUCCGAUAGUUUACUUUGAGAAAAAUAGAGUGGUUCAAAGCAGGCGGUUUUUGCCUUGAAUAACAUUAAGCAUGGGAUAAUAAAAUAGGACAUUGGUUCUAUUUUGAUGGUUUAAGGACCGAUGUAAUGAUUAAUAGGGACAGUUGGGGACAUUCAUAUUCCAUGGCUAGAGGUGAAAUUCUUGGAUUCAUGGAAGAUGAACUACUGCGAAAGCAUUUGUCAAAGAUGUUUUCAUUGAUCAAGAACGAAAGUUAGGGGAGCAAAGACGAUCAGAUACCGUCGUAGUCUUAACCAUAAACGAUGCCGACUAGGGAUCGGUGGGUGUUAGUUUGAUGACCCCAUCGGCACCUCAUGGGAAACCAAAGUCUUUGGGUUCCGGGGGGAGUAUGGUCGCAAGGCUGAAACUUAAAGGAAUUGACGGAAGGGCACCACCAGGAGUGGAGCCUGCGGCUUAAUUUGACUCCACACGGGAAAACUCACCCAGGUCCCAGACCAUGGUAAGGAUUGACAGAUUGAGAGCUCUUUCUUGAUUCCCAUGAAAAGUGGCGCAUGGGCCGUUCUCAUUGUCUGGUUAAUUCCGUUAACGAACGAGACCUUAACCUGCUAACUAGUCACCGUAAGCAAUUUUGCUUGGUCGGCUUGACUUCUUAGAGGGACAAUCUGUUUUCAGCAGAUGGAAGUUUGAGGCAAUAACAGGUCUGUGAUGCCCUUAGAUGUCCUGGGCUGCACGCGCGCUACACUGACGAACUCAACGAGUUUACAACCUUGGCAGAGAUGUCUGGGUAAUCUUUUAAAAGUUCGUCGUGAUGGGGAUAGAUGAUUGUAAUUAUUCGUCUUGAACGAGGAAGUCC
rnacentral:rRNA from 1 species